rnacentral:rRNA from 1 species
CUAGGCAUAAACUUCGGUUGUUCCUAUACCCACAACCUGCCAGAAAACUACAAGUGAAAAACUUAAAACUCAAAGGACUUGACGGUGUCCCACUCGCACUAGAGGAGCCUGUCCCAUAAUCGAUAACCCACGCUUUACCUCACCCCCCCUUGCCAGUUCAACCUGUAUACCGCCGUCGCCAGUCCACGCUGUGAACAUACCACCGUGGGUGCACCCAUUUUAGCCAUGGAUACGACAGGUCAAGGUGUAGUUUAUGGGGGGGAGCCAAGAUGGGCUACAUUUUCUAUAUUAGAAAAUCACUGCCCGCAACAUGAAAACACUGCUUAAAGGUGGAUUUAGAAGUAAACUUGACAAGACAUGUCAACUUGAAUAAGCCCUGGGACGC